rnacentral:rRNA from 1 species
CCUACGGGAGGCAGCAGUGAGGAAUAUUGGUCAAUGGACGAGAGUCUGAACCAGCCAAGUAGCGUGAAGGAUGACUGCCCUAUGGGUUGUAAACUUCUUUUAUAUGGGAAUAAAACGUUCCACGUGUGGGAUUUUGUAUGUACCAUAUGAAUAAGGAUCGGCUAACUCCGUGCCAGCAGCCGCGGUAAUACGGAGGAUCCGAGCGUUAUCCGGAUUUAUUGGGUUUAAAGGGAGCGUAGGUGGAUUGUUAAGUCAGUUGUGAAAGUUUGCGGCUCAACCGUAAAAUUGCAGUUGAAACUGGCAGUCUUGAGUACAGUAGAGGUGGGCGGAAUUCGUGGUGUAGUGGUGAAAUGCUUAGAUAUCACGAAGAACUCCGAUUGCGAAGGCAGUUCACUGGACUGCAACUGACACUGAGGCUCGAAAGUGUGGGUAUCAAACAGGAUUAGAUACCCCAGUAGUC